AAACGACAUCGAAAGCUUGCUUUUGAUGGGCGUCGACCGGCGCACGGGUGAGUAACGCGUAUCCAACCUGCCCACCACUUGGGGAUAACCUUGCGAAAGUAAGACUAAUACCCAAUGAUAUCUCUAGAAGACAUCUGAAAGAGAUUAAAGAUUUAUCGGUGAUGGAUGGGGAUGCGUCUGAUUAGCUUGUUGGCGGGGUAACGGCCCACCAAGGCGACGAUCAGUAGGGGUUCUGAGAGGAAGGUCCCCCACAUUGGAACUGAGACACGGUCCAAACUCCUACGGGAGGCAGCAGUGAGGAAUAUUGGUCA
rnacentral:rRNA from 1 species